CCAGCGACGCCGCGUGAGGGAUGAAGGCCUUCGGGUUGUAAACCUCUUUCAGUAGGGAAGAAGCGAAAGUGACGGUACCUACAGAAGAAGCACCGGCUAACUAUGUGCCAGCAGCCGCGGUAAUACAUAGGGUGCAAGCGUUGUCCGGAAUUAUUGGGCGUAAAGAGCUCGUAGGUGGUUCGAUACGUCGGAUGUGAAAAUCAGGGGCUCAACCCCUGACCUGCAUUCGAUACGGUCGAGCUAGAGUUUGGUAGGGGAGACUGGAAUUCCUGGUGUAGCGGUGGAAUGCGCAGAUAUCAGGAGGAACACCGAUGGCGAAGGCAGGUCUCUGGGCCAAUACUGACACUGAGGAGCGAAAGCGUGGGGAGCGAACAGGAUUAGAUACCCUGGUAGUCCACGCCGUAAACGGUGGGCGCUAGUUGUGCGAACCUUCCACGGUUUGUGCGACGCAGCUAACGCAUUAAGCGCCCCGCCUGGGGAGUACGAUCGCAAGAUUA
rnacentral:rRNA from 1 species